AGCGAACGCUGGCGGCAGGCCUAACACAUGCAAGUCGAACGAACCUUUCGGGGUUAGUGGCGGACGGGUGAGUAACACGUGGGAACGUGCCUUUAGGUUCGGAAUAACUCAGGGAAACUUGUGCUAAUACCGAAUGUGCCCUUCGGGGGAAAGAUUUAUCGCCUUUAGAGCGGCCCGCGUCUGAUUAGCUAGUUGGUUGAGGUAAUGGCUCACCAAGGCGACGAUCAGUAGCUGGUCUGAGAGGAUGAUCAGCCACAUUGGGACUGAGACACGGCCCAAACUCCUACGGGAGGCAGCAGUGGGGAAUCUUGCGCAAUGGGCGAAAGCCUGACGCAGCCAUGCCGAGUGAAUGAUGAAGGUCUUAGGAUUGUAAAAUUCUUUCACCGGGGACGAUAAUGACGGUACCCGGAGAAGAAGCCCCGGCUAACUUCGUG
rnacentral:rRNA from 1 species